AAUCCUCUAAAGAGCCGUUCGAGACUAGGACGUUGAUAGGCAGGGUGUGUAAGUGCUGUGAGGCAUUGAGCUACCUGUACUAAUGACUCGUGAGGCUUAACCAU
rnacentral:ncRNA from 1 species